rnacentral:lncRNA from 1 species
UGUGUAGUGAGGUCCGGGCAGCAGCCAUGGCCACAGGCUGCCUGCCAGCAGUGUGAGCUGUGCUCCCCAUUGCCCCAUCAGCCUCCCCAGCUCCUCCUGGCAGCACCCAGCCUUGGAAGCUACCUCUGAUUGCAACCGUCGAAGGAACACUCGCUCUCUCAGCACUGACCCAGACGGCCUGCACCAUCGCGCUGCUCGGCACGGCCCGCACGGCCAUCCUCCAAACCCUGUGUAGUGGGGAGCAUAAUCACCCCUUUUACCAAUGGGGAAACUGAGGCACCGAGAGGUUAAGUCACUUUCACAAGGUCCCAACACAAUGACCAAAAACAGAAAGCCAGCCCGCAAGUGGAACUAGGUGCUCCAAGUCCUGGGUCUGCCUGACACCGCAUUUCCUCAUCACCACAGUCCUCGGCAGGCUCCCAACUACAAACUAAGCCAUGUCCUCCAUCCUGAAUCCUCUCAGCCUAAACGUCACUCCCAAUGCCUCCCUCCGGAACAGGCACAAGUCCCACCAGCACACCCUCCUUCGUUAUCUGCAUUUCUGCCACCCCAGGGCCAGCUCCGGAGCCCUCACCACACGGCCUCUAUCCUUCACCCCCGGACACUGGACCUCACCAACCCACAGCCAGGAGAUCCGCGUGUGACCCCAGGGCCUCCUCUGCCUGACUCUGAAUUCCACUGCCCAACGUGACACCUCGGAAGGCUCCCUGGGCACUGGCAGCCCUCCACGGGCACUGCGCCUUCCGGCAAGCUCUGACAUCCGGCUGGUGAGGUGCCCUGCACGAGGCCUCUGCCCACCGGGACCUCAGAGUCGUGCUGUCAGCUACAACAAGCAACAGAAUUUCACAUUUUCUUCAUGUUGCCCCUGUGUGAGCAGCUUCUAUCUCCACACGGUUUUCAGUCGAAUCGAGGUGAGGUGAGGCGUCUUCACCUCACCUCACCGUCCGCAGCCAUGCUGCACAGUUAAUUCAUGCCCGCCAGGCACACAGCCGCAACACAAACGGGCGCCUGCCGCUUGGAAGGCCAAAGAGGAACAGAGAACAGCUACUGUGCUCAGGUGACAGGACUGUGGUC